rnacentral:rRNA from 1 species
AACCUGGUUGAUCCUGCCAGUAGUCAUAUGCUUGUCUUAAAGAUUAAGCCAUGCAUGUCUAAGUAUAAACACUUGUACUUGUGAAACUGCGAAUGGCUCAUUAAAUCAGUUAUAAUUUAUUUAAUGGUCUUUUACUACUUGGAUACCAGUGGUAAAUCUAGUGCUAAUACAUGCAUAAAAUCUUGACGAUCUUUCGGGGUUGGAGAGAUGUAUUUAUUAGAUUCAAAAGCCAAUGCCAUUCUUUUCGGAGAGUGGAAAUUUAACAUAUGGUGAAUCAUGAUAACUUAACGAAUCGUAUGGUCUUUGAACCGGCGAUAGUUCAUUCAAAUAUCUGCCCUAUCAACUUUCGAUGGUAGUAUAGAGGACUACCAUGGUGGUAGCGGGUAACGGAGAAUCAGGGUUUGAUUCCGGAGAAGGAGCCUGAGAAACGGCUACUACUUCCAAGGAAGGCAGCAGGCGCGCAAAUUACCCAAUCCCGACACGGGGAGGUAGUGACAAAAAAUAACAAUACCGAUCUAAAUACUAGUUUGGUAAUUGGAAUGAGUACAAUCUAAAACCUUUAACGAGUAUCAAUUGGAGGGCAAGUCUGGUGCCAGCAGCCGCGGUAAUUCCAGCUCCAAUAGCAUAUAUUAAAGUUGUUGCAGUUAAAAAGCUCGUAGUUGGAUUUUGAAGUUUAUAUAUUUUAACCCAUUUUUGUAAAUGUGUAUGUUGAAAUAUAUACUUCUCCUUACUAGUUUUUCAUUAUGUUUCUUUAUUGAUUCAUAAUUUCAUUUCUUUCGGGAAGUGAGUGAUAGUUAGACCUAUUGGAUUGAAGAUGUGGAUAAUCCUUUUUGGUUUGUUCUGCUUUGAUUCAAUAACUAAUUAUUAGAAUACUAGUUCUUUUACUUUGAGUAAAUUAGAGUGUUCAAGGCAAGCAUAAUUUUAAUGUUGCAAUGAAUACUAUUAGCAUGGGAUAAUGGAACAGGACACGUAUUCUAGUUUUCCGUUGGUUUCUAGAAUUUUUUGAUUCUUCUUUUUUGAGAAGAGUCGUAGUGUAAUGAUUAAAAGGGACAGUUGGGGGCAUUCGUAUUUCGAUGUCAGAGGUGAAAUUCUUGGAUUUUCGAAAGACGAACUUCUGCGAAAGCAUUUGUCAAAGAUGUUUUCAUUAAUCAAGAACGAAAGUUAGGGGAUCGAAGACGAUCAGAUACCGUCGUAGUCUUAACCAUAAACUAUGCCGACCAGGGAUUGGAAGAUGUAUUAUCCUAUGUAACAGUAGGAAAACUCCUUCAGUACCUUACGAGAAAUCAUAAGUCUUUGGGUUCUGGGGGGAGUAUGGUCGCAAGGCUGAAACUUAAAGGAAUUGACGGAAGGGCACCACCAGGAGUGGAGCCUGCGGCUUAAUUUGACUCAACACGGGAAAACUUACCAGGUCCAGACACAGUUAGGAUUGACAGAUUGAGAGCUCUUUCUUGAUUCUGUGGGUGGUGGUGCAUGGCCGUUCUUAGUUGGUGGAGUGAUUUGUCUGGUUAAUUCCGAUAACGAACGAGACCUCAGCCUGCUAAUUAGUUGUGCAAAUGAUAACAUUCCAUUUGGAAGGGGGUUUCUUUGUUAGCUUGGAGUUUGACUCUGAGAUUUUAAAGAAAAACUCGUUUUCAUUUGUUAGGAAUUUGAGAGCUUACGUUUGAUGAUUCCGAUAAUGACUUCUUAGAGGGACACUUGGUGUUUAACCAAGGGAAGUUUGAGGCAAUAACAGGUCUGUGAUGCCCUUUAGAUGUUCUGGGCUGCACGCGCGCUACACUGAUACGAUCAACGAGUACUGAAUACCUGUUCCGAAAGGAUUGGGUAAACUUUUGAAAUCGUAUCGUGAUGGGGAUUGAUAAUUGCAAUUAUUUAUCAUGAACGAGGAAUUCCUAGUAAGCGCAAGUCAACAGCUUGCGUUGAUUACGUCCCUGCCCUUUGUACACACCGCCCGUCGCUCCUACCGAUGUUUGGUCCGGUGAAAUCUUAGGAUUCGUGACAUACACUUGUUUUUACUCUUUUGUGAGAAUAAGUUUGUUAUGGAGAAUUUGAGUAAACCUUGCCAAAUAGAGGAAGGAGAAGUCGUAACAAGGUAUUCGUAGGUGAACCUGCAGAAGGAUCA